UACGAAGGGGGCUAGCGUUGUUCGGAGUUACUGGGCGUAAAGGGUGUGUAGGCGGUUCUUUAAGUUUGCUGUGAAAUCUCCCGGCUUAACCGGGAGGGUGCGGUGAAUACUGAGGGACUAGAGUACGGGGAGAGGAAAGUGGAAUUCCUGGUGUAGCGGUGAAAUGCGUAGAUAUCAGGAGGAACACCGGUGGUGUAGACGGCUUUCUGGACCGACACUGACGCUGGAGACACGAAAGCGUGGGUAGCAAACAGG
rnacentral:rRNA from 1 species